rnacentral:rRNA from 1 species
UACGUAGGGGGCCAGCGUUGUCCGGAUUCAUUGGGCGUAAAGCGCGUGUAGGCGGCCAGGUAGGUCCGAUGUGAAAUCUGGAGGCUCAACCUCCAGCGGUCAUUGGAAACCAUCUGGCUAGAGUCCGGAAGAGGAGAGUGGAAUUCCUGGUGUAGCGGUGAAAUGCGCAGAUAUCAGGAAGAACACCGAUGCGAAGGCAGCUCUCUGGGACGGUACUGACGCUGAGACGCGAAAAGCGUGGGGAGCGAACAGGG